rnacentral:tRNA from 3 species
GAAAUAUGAUGCUCAAAAAAAAGCUGCUAACUUUUUUUUUUAAUGGUUAAACUCCAUUUAUAUUUCU